GGAGAGCAAUCUGCCUCCUGCCAGCAGCUCAGCUUUACAGGCAAAGCAGCCCGAGCCCUGUGGGAGCUAGAAGACAUUAGCAGCAAAAGGACAGCAACCGUGUGGACUCCAUCCAUGGUGCAGACAAUUCUUCCAUAGCUUCUAACUCCAGGCCAUACCCAGGAAGGGGCCUGGCAGAGCCUGUAGCCGACCUCUGCUCUGGCCAACACUAAUCAGAAAUAAAGGUAAACCCAAAAAAGUUGAAGAUAGAGAAAAAGAUUGGUGGUGAAGAAGAGGUGAAGAAUGUAUAAAGGCAAGUAUUUGCCUCUCACUAAGAUCCUGUGAAGAGAAGAUACACACGAAUUCCUAUUUUAGUCUGGAUCAGAAGAAAAUUUCCCUGGUGGCAGCAGCCCCGAUACUGAAAAGCAUCUUGCAUUCAUGCUCCUCACUGUCCCGAGAGCAAGGAGACCAAGCAGGAGACCAAGCCAGUGAAGACCGCCAGGAACACCCACCAGCCUCCAGCUUGGCCGCGUGGGCCCCUGCAGCAAUAGCGCACCCCGCUGGCUGUCCAGCUACUUGGAUCCACACCACAGAGGCACAAGGAAGCAUAAAGGCCAUUGUCCUGAGCUGCAGAAGUGAACAACAGAGAGAGGGCCUCUCUCAGGCUCCCUGAUGAAAACUGAAGCCCACUAGAAAGUGAAGAGAACCUCUGCAAUAAAGGCACACCAGACCACCAUGCUUGGUAAGUUGGAGGGAUCAUCACCUCCCAUCGGAACCUGGACUAUCUUCAGGGGAAAGGCAUCUGGAACCUGCGGUAGAACCUUCCAUGGUUCAUCCCUGCAGGAGGACAGGGAGCUCAACUUUGGACUUGCAGCCAGAAAUCUGC